CAUGGCUCAGAUUGAACGCUGGCGGUAUGCUUAACACAUGCAAGUCGAACGGUAGCAGGCCUUCGGGCGCUGACGAGUGGCGGACGGGUGAGUAACGCGUAGGAAUCUGCCUCAUAGUGGGGGGACAACGUGGGGAAACUCACGCUAAUACCCGCAUACGCCCUACGGGGGAAAGCGGGGGAUCUUCGGACCUCGCGCUAUGAGAUGAGCCUGCGUUAGAUUAGCUAGUUGGUAGGGUAAAGGCCUACCAAGGCGACGAUCUAUAGCUGGUCUGAGAGGACGAUCAGCCACACUGGGACUGAGACACGGCCCAGACUCCUACGGGAGGCAGCAGUGGGGAAUAUUGGACAAUGGGCGCAAGCCUGAUCCAGCAAUACCGCGUGUGUGAAGAAGGCCUUAGGGUUGUAAAGCACUUUCAAUUCGGGAGGUAAAACCUGUCGGUCAAUACCCGGCAGCUUGACAUUACCUUUAGAAGUAAGCACCGGCUAACUCCGUGCCAGCAGCCGCGGUAAUACGGAGGGU
rnacentral:rRNA from 1 species